rnacentral:lncRNA from 10 species
UAAUUGCUAUAAAGAUUUGAGAUAAUAUUAUAAAAUAUAUACCAUUGUGUUCGGCACAUAAGAAGUAUUCAAUAAGUGGUUCCUAAGCUUAGAGAUAAUGUCUUUUUAUAUUAGAAUCUGAAUUCCUACACUUUUCAUGAUGGGGUUAUAGAGGGUUAGCCCUGGUGUUGAAGAGUUUCAGUCCAUCUCCUGUCAUUUGAUUGUUCCCUUUCAGGUCUGCCCCUGUCCUGCCCACCCCAGCCCUGGCCUCAGAGGAGCCUGUCAGGAUUGUAUGUGUGUGGUAUGUGUGUGUGGUGUGAGGGGUGUAUAUGUGUGGUAUGGGGUAUGUGGUGUGAGGUGUUGUGUGUGUGUGUGUGGUGUAAUGCAUGUGUGGUGUGUGUGUAUGUGGUGUGGGGUGUGUGUGGUAUGGGGUGUGUGUGUGGUAUGGGGUGUGUGGGGUGUGUGUGUAUGGUAUGGGAGUGUUAUGUGUCAUGUAUGUGAUGUGUGGGGGAGUGUGUAUGUGUGGUGUGUGUGGUGUAAGGUGUAUAUGUUGUGUGUAUGUAUAAUAUGGGGUACAUAUGUGUUUUUUAUGUGGUG